ensembl:lncRNA
AGAGUCUGAGAGAACAGCGUCCCUCUGUUUCGGCAGAUUCCUAGCGGCACCAUAAUGGGAGUCAUGUGGAUCCACUCUUUGCAACAACAGACUGGAGAAAAAAACCCAUCACACCCGUCCUUUAAGAACGUCUCCAGGUUGGUAAGGAGACGUGUUCGCUGACCUAUGACGAACGUCCUCUCGAGCGUGUCAACCAUUAGCCCCUGAGAGGAGGGUACACUUCGCAUCACACCACAACAGGACUCUAUUUAAGUUGAAGUCAGAUGUGGGCCAAGCAUUUCCCAUCACAGCCAUGGAGCCAUUUGUUGCAGCUUAACCUUCUGCAUGGAAAGUGUGAGGCGGAUUAGAACAUGUCCAAACACGCAUCUCUUCAGAGGAGCAAUGAGGCGGUCCAGGGUCUCGCUAUCACCUCCUCUAAAACAUCUGCGUCCUUUGUCACGAUCAGCGUCACAAUAUGGUUUAUUGUGCUUCAGAUCUGCCAGGGUCAACUGAGAGCACAGCUCGGGACAACCCCCAACAUUAAACACAUUGUGGUGGGAAGGUGUUACACCUACAUCACACUAGUUAACCCCAGCUUAAGGUAACGCACUGUGCAGCCUUUAUUUAUCAUGUCAUAGCAUGUCCAACCUUCAAAUCUGAUGCACAUUUGAUGCAUUUAAACAAGAAUUCAUUUGAACUGAG